rnacentral:tRNA from 1 species
GGGAUAAGAUAACAGCAGGUUACGGAACAAUCCUGCGGCCUUACAAGCCGAAGGUCACAGGUUCAAGCCCUGUUCCGCCCACCA